AUUGAACGCUGGCGGCAUGCCUUACACAUGCAAGUCGAACGGCAGCACGGGUGCUUGCACCUGGUGGCGAGUGGCGAACGGGUGAGUAAUACAUCGGAACAUGUCCUGUAGUGGGGGAUAGCCCGGCGAAAGCCGGAUUAAUACCGCAUACGAUCUACAGAUGAAAGCGGGGGACCUUCGGGCCUCGCGCUAUAGGGUUGGCCGAUGGCUGAUUAGCUAGUUGGUGGGGUAAAGGCCUACCAAGGCGACGAUCAGUAGCUGGUCUGAGAGGACGACCAGCCACACUGGGACUGAGACACGGCCCAGACUCCUACGGGAGGCAGCAGUGGGGAAUUUUGGACAAUGGGCGAAAGCCUGAUCCAGCAAUGCCGCGUGUGUGAAGAAGGCCUUCGGGUUGUAAAGCACUUUUGUCCGGAAAGAAAUCCUUGGCCCUAAUACGGUCGGGGGAUGACGGUACCGGAAGAAUAAGCACCGGCUAACUACGUG
rnacentral:rRNA from 1 species